GCAGGACAGUAUCGUGGAUGGGUUGUUAGACGAGGUUGUUCGACUUCCAGCCGAAAGGUUCUGGGUUCAAAUCCCAUUGUCUGCA